GUGGAGAUCGCGUCGCUCACAAAGUGGCUGUUGUAUGUCGGAUUUCUUUGGCUCAUAUCACAGCCAGCUUUGUUGAGCGGUGAGCGUCUUCCU